rnacentral:rRNA from 1 species
UACGGGGGGAGCAAGCGUUGUUCGGAUUUACUGGGCGUAAAGGGCGCGUAGGCGGUCAGCACAAGUCAGUUGUGAAAUCUCCGGGCUUAACUCGGAAAGGUCAACUGAUACUGUGCGACUAGAGUGCAGAAGGGGCAACUGGAAUUCUCGGUGUAGCGGUGAAAUGCGUAGAUAUCGAGAGGAACACCUGCGGCGAAGGCGGGUUGCUGGGCUGACACUGAGGCGCGAAAGCGUGGGGAGCGAACAGG